rnacentral:rRNA from 1 species
UAGUCCACGCCCUAAACGAUGCGCACUAGUUGUUGCUAUGCUAGACAUAGCAGUAAUGCAGUUAACACAGUAAGUGUGCCGCCUGGGGAGUACGGUCGCAAGAUUAAAACUCAAAGGAAUAGACGGGGACCCGCACAAGCGGUGGAGCAUGUGGUUUAAUUCGACGAUACGCGAAGAACCUUACCUGGCCUUGACAUAGAUAGAACUUACUAGAGAUAGUUUGGUGCUAGUUUACUAGAGCUAUCAUACAGGUGCUGCACGGCUGUCGUCAGCUCGUGUCGUGAGAUGUUGGGUUAAGUCCCGCAACGAGCGCAACCCUCGUGUUUAGUUACUAACAGUUCGGCUGAGGACUCUAGACAGACUGCCUGGGUAACCAGGAGGAAGGUGAGGACGACGUCAAGUCAUCAUGGCCCUUACGGCCAGGGCUACACACGUGCUACAAUGGGGUAUACAAAGAGCAGCGAUACCGCGAGGUGGAGCAAAUCUCAUAAAAUAUCUCCCAGUUCGGAUAGUAGUCUGCAACUCGACUACUUGAAGUUGGAAUCGCUAGUAAUCGUAGAUCAGCAAUGCUACGGUGAAUACGUUCCCGGGUCUUGUACUCACCGCCCGUCACACCAUGGGAAUUGAAUUCAUUCGAAGCGGGGAUGCUAAAAUAGCUACCUUCCACAGUGGAUUUAGUAACUAGGGUGAAGUCGUAACAAGGUAACC